UACGGAGGGUGCAAGCGUUAAUCGGAAUUACUGGGCGUAAAGCGUGCGUAGGCGGUUCGUUAAGUCUGUUGUGAAAGCCCCGGGCUCAACCUGGGAAUGGCAAUGGAUACUGGCGAGCUAGAGUGUGUCCAGAGGAUGGUGGAAUUCCCGGUGUAGCAGUGAAAUGCGUAGAGAUCGGGAGGAACAUCUGUGGCGAAGGCGACUACCUGGACCAGCACUGACACUGAGGCACGAAAGCGUGGGGAGCAAACAGG
rnacentral:rRNA from 1 species